CAUUAUCAACCAUCAAGCCUGGCUUGUCGUUGGACCCGUUGUCGCCACAAGUGAUAGGUCCGAAAGAUAAUGAACGGUGUCAUGGUGGCCCUAAAUGCAACGAGCUUUGAAUAGCACGCAUGUGGUGGUCAGCAGGCCCGGUCUCAACCCAUCAUUUCAAGGUUGACCUCGGAUCAGGUAGGAAUACCCGCUGAACUUAA
rnacentral:misc_RNA from 1 species